AGAGCGAACGCUGGCGGCAGGCCUAACACAUGCAAGUCGAGCGCGUGUAGCAAUACACGAGCGGCAGAUGGGAGAGUAACACGUGGGAACGCGCCCUUCGGUUCGGAAUAACUCAGGGAAACUUGAGCUAAUACCGGAUACGCCCUUACGGGGGAAAGAUUUAUUGCCGAAGGAACGGCCCGCGUCCGAUUAGCUAGUUGGUGAGGUAACGGCUCACCAAGGCGACGAUCGGUAGCUGGUCUGAGAGGAUGACCAGCCUCACUGGGACUGAGACACGGCCCAGACUCCUACGGGAGGCAGCAGUGGGGAAUAUUGGACAAUGGGCGCAAGCCUGAUCCAGCCAUGCCGCGUGGAUGAUGAAGGCCUUAGGGUUGUAAAGUCCUUUUAACGGGGAAGAUAAUGACGGUACCCGUAGAAUAAGCCCGGCUAACUUCGUGCCAGCAGCCGC
rnacentral:rRNA from 1 species